rnacentral:rRNA from 1 species
GUAACGGGGCUAAACCAUGCACCGAAGCUGCGGCAGCGACGCUUAUGCGUUGUUGGGUAGGGGAGCGUUCUGUAAGCCUGUGAAGGUGUACUGUGAGGUAUGCUGGAGGUAUCAGAAGUGCGAAUGCUGACAUAAGUAACGAUAAAGCGGGUGAAAAGCCCGCUCGCCGGAAGACCAAGGGUUCCUGUCCAACGUUAAUCGGGGCAGGGUGAGUCGACCCCUAAGGCGAGGCCGAAAGGCGUAGUCGAUGGGAAACAGGUUAAUAUUCCUGUACUUGGUGUUACUGCGAAGGGGGGACGGAGAAGGCUAUGUUGGCCGGGCGACGGUUGUCCCGGUUUAAGCGUGUAGGCUGGUUUUCCAGGCAAAUCCGGAAAAUCAAGGCUGAGGCGUGAUGACGAGGCACUACGGUGCUGAAGCAACAAAUGCCCUGCUUCCAGGAAAAGCCUCUAAGCAUCAGGUAACAUCAAAUCGUACCCCAAACCGACACAGGUGGUCAGGUAGAGAAUACCAAGGCGCUUGAGAGAACUCGGGUGAAGGAACUAGGCAAAAUGGUGCCGUAACUUCGGGAGAAGGCACGCUGAUAUGUAGGUGAAG